UGGCUCAGUAGCUCAGUUGGUUAGAGCAGGGGACUCAUAAGCCCAAGGUCGCAGGUUCAAAUCCCGCCUGAGCCAUAU
rnacentral:tRNA from 1 species